ensembl:miRNA
UCCCACGCUGUGACCCUCUAGAGGAAGCACUUUCUGUUUGUUGUCGGAGAGAAAACAAAGUGCUUCCCUUUAGAGUGUUACCGUUUGGGA